rnacentral:rRNA from 1 species
GACGAACGCUGGCGGCGCGCCUAACACAUGCAAGUCGAACGGAGUUGUGUUGAAAGCUUGCUGGAUAUACAACUUAGUGGCGGACGGGUGAGUAACACGUGAGUAACCUGCCUCUCAGAGUGGAAUAACGUUUGGAAACGAACGCUAAUACCGCAUAACGUGAGAAGAGGGCAUCCUCUUUUUACCAAAGAUUUAUCGCUGAGAGAUGGGCUCGCGGCCGAUUAGGUAGUUGGUGAGAUAACAGCCCACCAAGCCGACGAUCGGUAGCCGGACUGAGAGGUUGAUCGGCCACAUUGGGACUGAGACACGGCCCAGACUCCUACGGGAGGCAGCAGUGGGGGAUAUUGCACAAUGGGGGAAACCCUGAUGCAGCGACGCCGCGUGAGGGAAGACGGUUUUCGGAUUGUAAACCUCUGUCUUUAGGGACGAAAAAAUGACGGUACCUAAGGAGGAAGCCACGGCUAACUACGUGCCAGCAGCCGCGGUAACACGUAGGUGGCAAGCGUUGUCCGGAAUUACUGGGUGUAAAGGGAGCGUAGGCGGGGAGACAAGUUGAAUGUCUAAACUAUCGGCUUAACUGAUAGUCGCGUUCAAAACUAUCACUCUUGAGUGCAGUAGAGGUAGGCGGAAUUCCUAGUGUAGCGGUGAAAUGCGUAGAUAUUAGGAGGAACACCAGUGGCGAAGGCGGCCUACUGGGCUGUAACUGACGCUGAGGCUCGAAAGCGUGGGUAGCAAACAGGAUUAGAUACCCUGGUAGUCCACGCCGUAAACGAUGGAUUACUAGGUGUGGGGAGGCAAAGCUUUUCGGUGCCGCAGCAAACGCAAUAAGCAGUCCACCUGGGGAGUACGUUCGCAAGAAUGAAACUCAAAGGAAUAGACGGGGACCCGCACAAGCGGUGGAGCAUGUGGUUUAAUUCGAAGCAACGCGAAGAACCUUACCUGCCCUUGACAUCCGGCUGACCGGCGAGUAAUGUCGCCUUUCCUUCGGGACAGCCGAGACAGGUGGUGCAUGGUUGUCGUCAGCUCGUGUCGUGAGAUGUUGGGUUAAGUCCCGCAACGAGCGCAACCCUUAUCUUUAGUAGCCAGCAUUUCGGAUGGGCACUCUAGAGAGACUGCCAAGGAUAACCUGGAGGAAGGUGGGGAGGACGUCAAAUCAUCAUGCCCCUUAUGGGCAGGGCUACACACGUGCUACAAUGGCGUAAACAAAGGGAGGCAGACCUGCGAGGGUGAGCAAAUCCCAAAAAUAACGUCUCAGUUCGGAUUGUAGUCUGCAACUCGACUACAUGAAGCUGGAAUCGCUAGUAAUCGCGAAUCAGAAUGUCGCGGUGAAAAAGUUCCCGGGUCUUGCAC